rnacentral:misc_RNA from 1 species
AAAGUCGUAACAAGGUUUCCGUAGGUGAACCUGCGGAAGGAUCAUUAUUAUUUGGGUUGGGUUUACUUUUCAAAAUUUUACUUUUUCGAUCUUCUUUUGACUUAAAAAAGUAAACUUUUGCCAAAUAAAUUUUGACAAAUUUAUUUUCUCGCCCUAUUUAUUAGGGAGGAGCAAGAUGACCUUAUUUAAAACCAUCACUCUUACAAAUAUAUUUCGUAUUUAUUAUAUAAUAAUAAAAAAAGAUCACUUUCAACAACGGAUCUCUUGGUUCUC